UGGGGAAUAUUGCACAAUGGGCGCAAGCCUGAUGCAGCCAUGCCGCGUGUAUGAAGAAGGCCUUCGGGUUGUAAAGUACUUUCAGCGAGGAGGAAGGCGUUGUGGUUAAUAACCGCAACGAUUGACGUUACCCGCAGAAGAAGCACCGGCUAACUCCGUGCCAGCAGCCGCGGUAAUACGGAGGGUGCAAGCGUUAAUCGGAAUUACUGGGCGUAAAGCGCACGCAGGCGGUCUGUCAAGUCGGAUGUGAAAUCCCCGGGCUCAACCUGGGAACUGCAUUCGAAACUGGCAGGCUAGAGUCUUGUAGAGGGGGGUAGAAUUCCAGGUGUAGCGGUGAAAUGCGUAGAGAUCUGGAGGAAUACCGGUGGCGAAGGCGGCCCCCUGGACAAAGACUGACGCUCAGGUGCGAAAGCGUGGGGAGCAAACA
rnacentral:rRNA from 1 species